rfam:Capsicum annuum cultivar Zunla-1 chromosome 7, whole genome shotgun sequence
UGGUAGUGAUAUGGACAGUACCAAAGAAAAUAUUUAAAACUCUCCCAAACAUGAUAGAGGUUCUCAUCUGGCUUUUGCUUAAAGAUCAAAAUCUCACUACAUAGUCU